rnacentral:rRNA from 1 species
AGUCAUCGCUCAACGGAUAAAAGGUACGCCGGGGAUAACAGGCUAAUAGUGUCCAAGAGCUCACAUCGACGACACUGUUUGGCACCUCGAUGUCGGCU